UGACUGAUCUGGAAACAGGUCUUCCCUUCGGGGCACGAAACUAGGUGCUGCAUGGUUGUCGUCAGCUCGUGCCGUGAGGUGUCGGGUUAAGUCCCAUAACGAGCGCAACCCCUACUGAUAGUUGCCAUCAGGUCAAGCUGGGCACUCUAUCGGGACUGCCGGUGUAAGCCGGAGGAGGGUGGGGAUGACGUCAAAUCAGCACGGCCCUUACGUCCGGGGCGACACACGUGUUACAAUGGUAGGUACAGAGGGCCGCUACCCAGCGAUGGGGUGCAAAUCUCGAAAGCCUAUCUCAGUUCGGAUUGGAGGCUGAAACUCGCCUCCAUGAAGUUGGAUUCGCUAGUAAUCGCGCAUCAGCCAUGGCGCGGUGAAUACGUUCCCGGGCCUUGUACACACCGCCCGUCAAGCCAUGGGAGUUGGGGGUGCCUGAAGUUCGUGACCGCAAGGAGCGACCUAGGGCAAAACUAAUGACUGGGGCUAAGUCGUAACAAGGUAGCCGUACCGGAAGGUGCGGCUGGAUCACC
rnacentral:rRNA from 1 species